CGUGUAGGUGGUUUGUUAAGUUGGGUGUUAAAUCUCUCGGCUCAACUGAGAGGUGUCGCUCAAAACUAGCAGACUGGAGGACGGUAGAGGAAGGUGGAAUUCCGGGUGUAGUGGUGAAAUGCGUAGAUAUCCGGAGGAACAUCAGUGGCGAAGGCGGCCUUCUGGACCGCUCCUGACACUCCAACGCGAAAGCUAGGGGAGCAAACGGGAUUAGAAACCCCGGUAGUCCUAGCUGUAAACGAUGUGAACUUGGUGUUGGCGGGGUAAAACCUGCCGGUGCCGAAGCAAACGCGAUAAGUUCACCGCCUGGGGACUACGGCCGCAAGGUUAAA
rnacentral:rRNA from 1 species